rnacentral:misc_RNA from 1 species
GUCUUGACCUUUAUAAACUUCACCAGCUAUAUCAGAUACAACCCCACAGAGAAUCCUUAAAACGGGCAUAAAAUCCUCCCUUCGAAGGCAAUCAAGAAAUUGGAUUUUCAGAUUGACUUGAACUUGAGGAAGUAACUUGGGCCACACGUUUUGAACUUUAACACAACUGAGGACAAGCACGGAAUUUGCACGGGUGUCAAUUUUAGAGGAAAACCUAAGAAGGUAUAAAAGCUUUAAAAAAAGAAGACAUAGGAAGUGAUCUUUAGAACAGCGGAGGAGAUUAUAGGCAUGGGUUCUUCGUCGUUCUUGAGGAGAAAACAGAAAAGAGAAGAGGUUUUCCAUUGGUUUGACAUCAUUGG